rnacentral:rRNA from 1 species
UACGUAGGGUGCGAGCGUUGUCCGGAAUUAUUGGGCGUAAAGGGCUCGUAGGCGGUUUGUCGCGUCGGGCGUGAAAACCCAGGGCUUAACCCUGGGCUGGCUUCCGAUACGGGCAGACUAGAGGUAUGCAGGGGAGAACGGAAUUCCUGGUGUAGCGGUGAAAUGCGCAGAUAUCAGGAGGAACACCGGUGGCGAAGGCGGGUCUCUGGGCCGAUACUGACGCUGAGGAGCGAAAGCGUGGGGAGCGAACAGG